rnacentral:lncRNA from 1 species
GUUCUGUGAAUGCCUGCUCGAGGACAACGGAAUGGAUGGCCUUGAACCAGCUGCAUGACCCUGCCAGCUGGUUCCCGCAUUCUGCCUUCUACCCUUGGCUCUCCCUGUGAUCUUUUCUCCUGGACAAAGCAAAACAAUGGUGAAGGGGAC